rnacentral:rRNA from 1 species
UACAGAGGGUGCGAGCGUUGUUCGGAAUUACUGGGCGUAAAGCGCGCGCAGGCGGCCUUUUAAGUCUACCCGGGAAAUGCCGGGGCUCAACUCCGUGCACGCCGGGGGAUACUGGGAGGCUGGAGACAGGUAGAGGCAAGCGGAAUUCCGGGUGUAGCGGUGGAAUGCGUAGAGAUCCGGAAGAACACCUGAGGCGAAGGCGGCUUGCUGGGCCUGGUCUGACGCUGAGGCGCGAAAGCGUGGGGAGCGAACAGG